UACGGGGGGGGUAAGCGUUGUUCGGAAUUACUGGGCGUAAAGGGCUCGUAGGCGGCCAACUAAGUCGGACGUGAAAUCCCUCAGCUUAACUGGGGAACUGCGUCCGAUACUGGAUGGCUUGGAUUUGGGAGAGGGACGCGGAAUUCCAGGUGUAGCGGUGAAAUGCGUAGAUAUCAGGAGGAACACCGGUGGCGAAGGCGGGUCUCUGGGCCGAUACUGACGCUGAGGAGCGAAAGCGUGGGGAGCGAACAGG
rnacentral:rRNA from 1 species